rnacentral:tRNA from 1 species
CAAAAUAUAGCUUAACCUAAGCUUUUCGCUUACACCGAAAAAAUAUCUGUUAAAUUCAGAUUAUUUUGA